GGGCGAUUGGCUCAGUUGGUUAGAGCGCCACAUUCACAUUGUGGAGGCCAGAGGUCCGAAUCCUCUAUCGCCCACCA
rnacentral:tRNA from 1 species